rnacentral:rRNA from 1 species
AGGGGCGAAAGACUAAUCGAACCAUCAAGUAGCUGGUUCCCUCCGAAGUUUCCCUCAGGAUAGCUGGAACUUAUGAGAAAGUAGUUUUAUCAGGUAAAGCGAAUGAUUAGAGGCUUUGGGGAAGAAACUUCCUCGACCUAUUCUCAAACUUUAAAUAGGUAAGAUUUGAAGGAUACUUAAGUGAUCUUUCAAUCUCUUGAAUAUAAAGUUCUUAGUGGGCCAUUUUUGGUAAGCAGAACUGGCGAUGUGGGAUGAACCGAACGUUAAGUUAAAGUGCCAAAUAAUACGCUCAUGAGAUACCAUAAAAAGGUGUUGGUUCAUUUUGACAGCAGGACGGUGGCCAUGGAAGUCGGAACCCGCUAAGGAGUGUGUAACAACUCACCUGCCGAAUGAACUAGCCCUGAAAAUGGAUGGCGCUUAAGCGUACAACUUAUACUUAACCCUUACUUGAUUAUUAUAGCGAGUAAGGAGUAGGAGGG